ensembl:lncRNA
UAAAUAAAUAAAGCAAUAUUUAUUUAUCUUAUUUAAUGUUAAUUUAAAUUUCAGUUUUUACUAAUACAUUAUUAAAAUCAAAAGUUGUAUCUGUUAACAUUAUUUAAUGUACCUGAGCUGUCGUGAACUAAUAAUGAACAGCUGUUUAUUAACUAAUUUUAACAGUACUGUAAGAAACGUUCAUUGCUCAUUGUUAGGUAAUGUCAAUUAAUGCAUUAAUAGAACCUUUUUGUAAAGGGAACCUUAUUGUAUUUGUAAUCGUCUUUUAAAGCCCUGUGACCCAGGUUUGGUUAGCACAGAAGACCGUGUGGAAUGCAAGCUUUGUCCCGCUGGUUUCUCUUGUGACAGCGCAUCAGGCAACCUUACAGCGUGUCUGUCAGGACAGUAUUCUCCAGAGGGACUCACUCAGUGUCUGCCAUGCCCCUUUGGCUUUGUUUGCAUAGAGGGUUUUCAAAUGAAGGUGGGCACAAACUAAAGUGCUGCUUAAGAGAUUUUUUCCCUCCCUUUUGGUAAUAUUACACUCAACCUAAGCAUAAACUUUGGUGUAAAUCAUUUUUAUUUGUUCACUUCACUAUUUUAGUGUGGCCUCGGAGAAGAACCAAACUUCAACCAGACAGAGUGUGUUGAGUGUGCUGAAGGCUACUAUUCCACUCUGUGCGGUGCUCAAUGUCAGCUGUGUCCUGCAGGAAGCCACUGUCCGUACAAAAAGAUGUCCGCACCUCUUCCUUGUCCCGUGGGCCAUUAUUCAGACAUACCGGGCCAGACUGAGUGUAAAAAAUGCAAUGGUUCAUCAGCCUGCAGGAGUACAGUGACUCCGGUCUGGUCAAGGGGACAGUCUCAUCUUGGUCAGAGGUCAAGACAGCUUAUCUCCUGUCCCCCUGGGACAUACCGAGACGGAGAAAGAUCAGACUGUGUUGUGUGUCCUGCAGGUGAGUCAGUAUUUCAGAUAGGGCUGCUCGCUUUUCACAUUCAAUACCACAUUUUGAUUGUUAACAUUUGUUUUUGCAGGGCAUUACUGUGUUGCAAAUAUUGCGAUACAAUGCCCGGAAGGAACUUAUGGACCAAAGGAGGGGCUACAGAGAGAAAGGGACUGUGCUAUUUGUCCUGCAGGUUUUUACUGUUUGGAGGGCACGUCUCGGAGGCCGAGCUCUCAGUUUCUGUGCCCACAAGGGUAUUACUGUGAGGAAGGCACGGGUGUGCCGCACGGGUCACCUUGCCCUGCUGGAACUGCAGGAGGACAACUGGGUCAGACAAGUAGGGCAGCUUGCAAGAGGUGUGCAGAGGGUCGCUUCUGUCCCGCAGGUUAGGGCAUGAAACCAAGACACACAUAUGCAUGAUCACAUUCAUACACACAUAUACAGUAUGCAUAAUUAUCUUUUGUUUUUUGUUGACAUGAUAUUAUCUGUAAAAGAUGACUGGGCUUCUAUAGACAUACUCUUUUGUAGAAACCUAAAUAGUAAAAUGUUAUGAUUUUAGUGUUUUACCAAAGAUUGCAGUAAGCUGCAACUUUAAUUUUCCUAAACCCACAUGAGCCACUGCUGUUAAACGGUUUCCUGCCCUCAACUGUUUCCUGAGUGUGAUGUGCUGUAAGAGUGUGUGAUGUGGGUUUGGAAUGAAGAGACCAUGGAAAAGUUAUUUGUGACGUUUUACAUCAUAGCUUUGUGUUUAAGUUAAGCACAUCUCCAUUUCUAUUUAUUUAAUUUAUUGUUGUAGACCUGUUUGUACUUUUAAAAGUAAAAGUGAUGUUUGUGUUAAUUUUUUCUUCUUCUUUUUAUUCUUUUAAAUAUAUGUAUAUAUAAUACACACACACACACACACACACACACACAGAAAAACAAUGUACACACAUUACAUUCACAUUUGAACACAAUAGUAUUUCUAAUAAUAAUUUACAACAUGUACUUAUGUAAAAUACAUCAACAUAUAUACUAAUUAUUUUCUCUAAUUACAAUUACAAUUUUUUUUUUUUUUUUUUUUUUUUUUUUUUUUUUUUUAAAAACUUGAAACCCUUCUUGAUUUGUAGGUUCUGCAGGUCCUGGCUUGCUUUGUGCCCGUGGGAGGUACUGUCCAGCAGGCACACUCAGUGAGAUCUUAUGCCCUCAAGGGACCUUCACCCCACAUCAGGGGGCGCUGAGUAAGAUUUCUUUCUUAAAACAUAUAUUCUCAUUAAAGCACAUCCAUAU